rnacentral:tRNA from 1 species
GGUGGCUCAGUGGUAGAGCGCUUGCCUUGCAUGCAUGAGGCCCUGGGUUCAAUUCCUCUGGCACCA